rnacentral:tRNA from 2 species
GGGCCCGUCGUAUAAUGGAUAUUACACCGCCUUUGACACGCGAGUAAUACGGGUUCGAUUCCCGUCGGGUCCA